rnacentral:lncRNA from 1 species
UCUCCUCCUUUUUCCUUCUCUGUUUCACAUCUCUAUUCUGAAAAUCUGCUUCUAUCCAGUUAGUUCCUCAUGCUUACUAUCAUUUUCACAUCUGGAUCACCAAUCCCUACUUGUUGAACACUGCCAAUCAUAAAUAAAUUCGGACACAACAUGCCAAAUGGUUCCUCCAUUCCAAGUCGUUGAGUCCAUAUUUGGGUCUCUGCAAAACUAAAACCUGCUCGUAUUAAUUGCUGCAGGCAGAUGAAAUAUUAACGAAAUUAAAUACAAACUGGGUAGCUAGCCUAUGUGGAUCAGAGGCCACUCAGCCAACUGGGUCCAUAGGUUUUUACUAGCUACGAAUGAUAGACAAAAGUUAUAUCCUUUACCAACUCAAUCAUUCCCUGAGACCAAACGUCAACUAAAAAUAUUGAACCUAAGCAACAGAAAAUGAAGCAGUCGUAUCCAACUGCUACUUAGGCAGGGGAAGACACACAAGGUUCCACUUACUAUUAUGCACAGACUUGACGGUAAUUUUCUUUUUUGGGGGGUAGAAAAGAAAUGUAAGAUUUUGCAAUGUGACAUCAAUAACUAAAUUGUCAUGCUUGUCUCUACAAAGUCUAGAUAUGCUUGUUAAGUUAAGUUCCGCUUGACCACUUUUUGUAGAUUAAUAUCAGAUAAGCCACACAUCUUCAUACAGUAAAAGACUGAAGACAACAAAGUCACUUUACGUCCUUAAGAGGAAAAAGUCCACUUCUACGUGAUUACUUUUAGCAAUUAGUUCAGACUAAUGGAUAUUUUACAAAGACUAGAACUCCAUUAGUCAAUGAAAGAAUCACCCUAAAUAAGUGCUCAGGCAGAUCAAAGGGCCAGCCGUUCAGACUAAAGGAAAUUCUAUAAAGAUCAAACUAAGAGUCAUCCUGACAAGAAGACAAAGCUUCUGCAAUCCCAGAAACUAUGAACCAGCGUUACCGUGCGAAUACAAAUCCAAAGUUCCCACACAACAGUACGAUCUUUUUACUUUAUAAUAACAAACCGGUCACAGUUAGCUCUAGAGUCGAGAGUUUAAUAGCAAACAAUUACAAUGAUAUCACAGUGGGAGAAGUUGUAUAAUAACGACAAUCACGUUUGUAAUGCAACUGCUGAUAACUUGAAUCUGAGAUGUGCAGGAUUGAUUACUGGAAACCAAAAAGAACUAUCAACCUUUGUUUGUUACGUAAGGAAACCAGCACUUGAAGGGGGCAGCAGCUGCUCCAAAUGAAGUACAAAGCACUAGACAGAGCAACAUCAGACAACACAAAAAUAUUAACCAUACCUGGCUUGCUUGAAUCUUAGUAAGUAUGUAAGGCCAGCAACUAAGGUGUUUGAGCGUUAGAAAUGCUUCAAUCCAAUUCGUCUGCCACGCAUUGGCCAGAGAAUUGCCCCCAUGGACGACAAUAUUGGCCUCCCUGAUAAGCAUUAGCCAAUUAUACAUUAUAAUCCUAUUGCAGUCGUACUGACAAAAACAAAAUAGACAUAUGCCACUGAAUUAUAAGGGCCAAAAUAAUUGAAGAAACAGGACGUAGGAACUGAUAAGAAGUGCCACUUAGUCUAAAAUAUACUCAUGACGAAUUAUAAUUUUGGGAAAACUGCUCAAACUCACUGGACAUGGAGGACCAGCGACUACUUUGCAACUCUAGAGAUAUUGUAUCAAGUAAUCACUCUGACUAACAAAUUCUAGAUUAUUCUAAAUGCAGAAAGCAUGAACUAUUUGCUUCUUUUUGCAGUUCCAAAGACCUGAAAUACAACUUUUCAAAUUCUCACCCCCUAGACACCUAAACUUAAAAACGGGGAGCACUGUAUAAGAAACUAAAGUAUUUUCUUGAUCUGUUACAGAAUGAUGACAAUUUACAAAAAACGAUUCAGGACACAGAACGUGUGACAUAUAAUUCACGGGGUUGCUAUGUUUUAACACUUCACCAUACCUGCAAUUGGUAGAGAUUCUACCACCAAGUUCCAGUUCUAUCUUGAUUCAUGGAGUAACACCAGGCAGCAUCACUGAACAAAGUCAGCAUCUGAGCUAGAGAUUAAAGAACAAAGGGACAAGAGAGUUAAUGUGCAAUUGAUAUAGAAAUGAUAAUAGAUGCUAGAAAUAAGAGGGCAAAC